GCACCACGUUAGUUAUAAAAGCGAGCUGAAUAAGCGUUCGACGAUGGUACUGUGCUGGUCCUAGGCUAGACCGUGCUAGAGACGCGAGCCUGGACACAAAGGAAAACCACAGCACACCCCCGAAAACAAGGUGGAAGAAACCUAAAAUCAAUAUGAAAAACAGCCCCUUCUUUUUUUUGAAUCUUUUCUCUUUUUUUCUUUUUUUCUUUUUUUUGGGCAACCUCAAAAACAGAUUAUAUGAACAAAAGAAUACAAAAGAGCAAUUCGCUACACACACUUUUUUCCGAAAGUACAGGUGUAUUCCGGUAAAAAGAUAUGGUAAUACUCGGCUGUGUAUAGAUGGUGACAAGAACUCGAAACUCUAAAGGACUAGACACUAAGACCAGCAACUCGACACAAACCGAAGCAACGCAAAUUCAACAAGCCCUAACUAAAACGGUACUAGCCAAGGCACAAAGGUUUAAUAGGAUUAUGGAAAAACUAAUCUACUAUAUUUUUUUUGGCUUUUUUGGACUAUAGGAAAUUAACUAAAAACAGCAAAGGAUUAGAAGUCUCUCACCGAAGAACCUUGCUCUGAUUACCAACUGAUGCGAACCCGCUAGGGUUUUUGCCUGAUCUUUUGAUGAGAGAUGGGGAUAACUCGAUUGCUGGAUGGAGAUGACGUUCACGGCCCGACUACAGCCCUCAAGACCGCGCCUUAGCAACCGAUACACCACGUCCAACAGCCGUCACGAUCUUGCGGAGCGCGACAACCAGCCCCUAGGGCUCCCGUCCUGCAAGCAAUCGAAGAACUAGCAAGAACGAGGAAACAAGCACUG
rnacentral:lncRNA from 1 species